rnacentral:rRNA from 1 species
GACGAACGCUGGCGGCGUGCUUAACACAUGCAAGUCGAACGGAAAGGCCCUGCUUUUGUGGGGUGCUCGAGUGGCGAACGGGUGAGUAACACGUGUGUAACCUGCCCUUGACUUUGGGAUAACUUCAGGAAACUGGGGCUAAUACCGGAUAGGAGCUCCUGCUGCAUGGUGGGGGUUGGAAAGUUUCGGCGGUUGGGGAUGGACUCGCGGCUUAUCAGCUUGUUGGUGGGGUAGUGGCUUACCAAGGCUUUGACGGGUAGCCGGCCUGAGAGGGUGACCGGCGACAUUGGGACUGAGAUACGGCGCAGAAUCGUACGGGAGGCAGCAGUGGGGAAUAUUGCACAGUGGGCGGAAGCCUGAUGCAGCAACGCCGGGUGCGGGAUGACGGCCUUCGGGUGGUAAACCGCUUUGGCCUGUGACGAAGCGUGAGUGACGGUAAUGGGUAAAGAAGCACCGGCUAACUACGUG